rnacentral:rRNA from 1 species
AUGAAGUCCAUCGGCAGCCGGGACAAGCUGCAGGCGGCGGCGGCGGCGACGGGGCCCCGGCGGGUGCUGCUGCUGGUCUUCGCCUCCUGCUUCGCCUUCGCCACGCUGCUCACCUUCCUCUACACCUCCUCCGGCUUCGCCUCCGCCGCGUCCUCCGGCUCGCGCCUGGCCUCGGGCUCCUCGUCGGGCGCGGCGGCCGGGUCCGGCGCCGCGCUGCCGCUGCCGGUGUUCGACGCGCUGGUCCACUACGCCUCCUUCUCCAACGCCACGCACCGGAUGACGGACACGGACAUCCGGGCCAUCUCCGCCAUCCUGCGCGCGCGCGGGCCCUGCAACCUCCUCGUCUUCGGCCUGGGCGCCGAGUCGCCGCUCUGGCUCGCGCUCAACCACGGCGGCCGCACCGUGUACCUGGACGAGAACGAGUUCUACGUCAAGUACCUGGAGCCGCGCCACCCGGGGCUGGAGGCCUACGACGUCUCCUACACCACCAAGGUGCGGGACUUCCGGGACCUGCUGGAGGCGGCCCGGGGCUCGCGCGCCGCCGAGUGCCGGCCGGUGCAGAACCUGCUCUUCUCCGAGUGCCGGCUCGCCAUCAACGACCUGCCCAACGAGCUCUACGACGUGCCCUGGGACGUGGUGCUCAUCGACGGGCCGUCCGGGUGGAACCCCAACUCGCCCGGGCGGAUGCCGUCCAUCUUCACCACCGCCGUGCUCGCCCGCUCCGGCGCCACCGCCGCCAAGGGCCCCACGGACGUGCUGGUGCACGACUUCAACUUCGAGGUGGAGCAGGUGCUGAGCAAGGAGUUCCUCUGCGACGAGAACCGCGUCGCCGGCAGCGGCACGCCGUCCCUCGCGCACUUCGUGAUCCGCCCCGGCGGCCCCGCCGACGCCUUCUGCGCCGCCGGCCAGGACAGCCGGGCCACGUCCGAGGAGAAGACCCGCCGCAAGUAA